GACGAACGCUGGCGGCGUGCUUAACACAUGCAAGUCGAACGGAAAGGCCCUGCUUUUGUGGGGUGCUCGAGUGGCGAACGGGUGAGUAACACGUGAGUAACCUGCCCUUGACUUUGGGAUAACUUCAGGAAACUGGGGCUAAUACCGGAUAGGAGCUCCUGCUGCAUGGUGGGGGUUGGAAAGUUUCGGCGGUUGGGGAUGGACUCGCGGCUUAUCAGCUUGUUGGUGGGGUAGUGGAUUACCAAGGCUUUGACGGGUAGCCGGCCUGAGAGGGUGACCGGCCACAUUGGGACUGAGAUACGGCCCAGACUCCUACGGGAGGCAGCAGUGGGGAAUAUUGCACAAUGGGCGGAAGCCUGAUGCAGCAACGCCGCGUGCGGGAUGACGGCCUUCGGGUUGUAAACCGCUUUCGCCUGUGGCGAAGCGUGAGUGACGGUAAUGGGUAAAGAAGCACCGGCUAACUACGUG
rnacentral:rRNA from 1 species